AGGACUGUGGUUCAGUGGCAGAGCUCUGCUUUGCAUGCAAAAGGUCACAGGUUCAAUCCCUGGCAACUCCU